rnacentral:rRNA from 1 species
AUUGAACGCUAGCGGGAUGCUUUACACAUGCAAGUCGAACGAGUGGCGGACGGGUGAGUAAUAUAUCGGAACGUGCCCAGUAGCGGGGGAUAACUACUGGAAAGAGUGGCUCAUACCGCCUACUAUCGGAGCGGCCGAUAUGGGAUUAGCUAGUUGGUGGGGUAACGGCUCACCAAGGCAACGAUCCGUAGCUGGUUUGAGAGGAUGACCAGCCACACUGGGACUGAGACACGGCCCAGACUCCUACGGGAGGCAGCAGUGGGGAAUUUUGGACAAUGGGGGAAACCCUGAUGCAGCCAUCCCGCGUGUAUGAGAAGGCCUUCGGGUUGUAAAGUACUUUUGGCAGAGAAGCGGUAUCUGCAGAAUAAGCACCGGCUAACUCCGUGCCAGCAGCCGCGGUAAUUC